UGCAGAUCUACCUUUUGUCUGUUCACUGUAGUACAAUGCGAUUACGAAUAAUACUCCAGCUCCCAUUAUGAUUUCUUUACUGCUUAGCCUGAAGUUACUGGGCAUUUGGUUUGACCUUCCUCCUCAAGCGACACAGACAUGUCAGCCGGCAAGGUUGCAAUGACCUCUUGAUCCCUAGCUGCCACCGGAUUCCCAGAAGGUAAGUAAGCUCUUCUCAGAGCAUCUCAUCUCUCUUUUCG
rnacentral:lncRNA from 1 species